rnacentral:rRNA from 1 species
AGAGUUUGAUCAUGGCUCAGAUUGAACGCUGGCGGCAUGGUUAAAGCAUGCAAGUCGCAGGAGAAGCCUUCGGGUGGACACUGGCGAAAGGGCGAGGAAUGGUAUCGAACGUACCCUGAAGUGGAGAAUAGCCUGGAGAAAUUCAGGGUAAUACUCCAUGAUCUCUACGGAGCAAAGCUACGGCGCUUCGGGAGCGGCGAUACUCCUAUCAGGUAGUUGGUGAGGUAAUGGCUCACCAAGCCUUAGACGGGUAGCGGGUGUGAGAGCACGAUCCGCCGCAUCGGAACUGAGACACUGUCCGGACUCCUACGGGAGGCUGCAGCAACGAAUAUUCCGCAAUGCACGCAAGUGUGACGGAGCAAUGCCGCGUGUGGGAUGAAGCAUCUACGAUGUGUAAACCACUGUCAGGGUGUAGGAAGAACUGACCGCACCCAAAGGAAGGACCGGCUAAUCACGUGCCAGCAGCCGCGGUAAUACGUGAGGUCCAAGCGUUAAUCGGAAUCACUGGGCUUAAAGAGUGCGCAGGCGGACUGAUAAGCAUUUUGUGAAAUCCCACAGCUCAACUGUGGAAUUGCAGAGUGAACUAUCAGUCUUGAGGUAGGUAGAGGCUGACGGAACCAUAGGUGGAGCGGUGGAAUGCAUAGAGAUCUAUGGGAACGCCAAAGGCGAAGGCAGUCAGCUGGGCCUAUUCUGACGCUCAUGCACGAAAGCGUGGGGAGCAAACAGGAUUAGAUACCCUGGUAGUCCACGCCCUAAACGAUGUGCACUAGAUCGAUGCAGCUCUGACGCUGUGUUGGUCGAAGAGAAAUUAUUAA